UUCCUGGUGGAAUUAUAUGUGAUCAUUACUCAUUGUCUCCGUGCUUUUUAAAAAACGGGCCUGAAAAAAAUUAAACAAAAGAAAGGAAACUUCCCUUCCUCCUCAAAUAUACUAGCAAACAAGAAGCUAUUAGAGCACAAUUCAAGUUAGUGUAGAUUUUGGUUGGUUGUGUGGAUGAGGCAGGGCUGGUGUGAAGCAGUGGUACUAAGGAGGAAGCAGGAAUCCCAAAAUAUAAAGGAUUGGACUAGUCAAUAAAAUUCUGAGAGUUGAGAGCAGUGUACCCAGUUCUGUUACAUGAGGUAGCUGGGCAGUGGGUGUGGUAGGGUCAGGUACCAGGACACCAAGCAACAGAAGCUAGAAUCCAAGUGAGGUCACAGAUGAAGCCAGGGGUCACUGGGUCAUUUAGGUCACUGGGAUGGAAGCUGAUAGGUGUCAGGGUGGGCAAGGCAAGGGGAAUGAAGGCUCAGAGUGAGCUUAUAUGAACCCCGAUUCUAAGGACUCUGGAUCCAAGAUCUUAUCAACUCUAAAAGCCAGACAUGGAAGGUGCCAGUGACUUUGGAGCUUCCCACAGGAUAGGAGCCAUGCAGGGGUGGUGCUGGGGUGUGAGAAGCUAUGUGAAAGAGAACGGAAGAUGGGUGUGAGGGAGAAUGGGUGAUGUAAGGGAUUAACUUCUGAGAGCCAAGGUCUGGGUGAAGCUGAGCCGCUCUUGCAGCCUGGGGACUUGAGAAACUGGUCAUGGGCAGCUGGGAUGAGGUCUGCUAACUCCCUGAGAAACUACUGACCUCUCCUUUGUGUCACACUUUGAAGUGUGACUGAAGAGGUGGUGUGGCCAUGUGGUCAGGAGUACGUUCUCAGCUCUGAUCAGCAACACCAAGGAGAGGUUCAAAUCAGUCCUUAGGUUGAUUCCUUGCCUUGGCCACUGCCAAUAGUGCUGCAAUGAACAGGGGAGUGGGGAUGUCUCUUUGAGGCAGUCUUCCUUUGCUAUUAUAUUUUGGGGGAGUGUAUCCUCUAGGGUCCUUUUGGUUGCAAACAACAGAUGUCUGCUUAAGUUAUUUUGGCUUACACAAAAAAGCACAUUUUCGUUGUCUCCUGCUGUGAUGACUUUAUUACCGGGACUCAAGAAGCUGACUUAAAAAAAAAAAAGGAAAAAAUAAGCUGACUCAAAGGCAGUGGUACAAGUGCUGACAUCUGCUGGAGGAAAAUUAUCUGUUUCUACAACUACGUGCAAUCAUGCGUCACUUAACGCAUCCUGAGAAGUGCGUCAUUAGGUGAUUUCACUGUUGUGUGACCAUCAAAUACGGGAACCUAAAUGGUAUAGCCUACUGCACACCUAGGCUAUAUGGCACAGCCUGUUAGGUUACCUAUCUGUAUAGCAGGUUACUGUGCUGAAUACUGUAACACAAUGGCAAGAACCAUCUGUGGAAGCUAAAGUUAGUGGGCGAAAGUGUGAUGAGAAGAAAAACACUUACAUAGUCUCCAAGUGUCUCCUCACAAGAUACUUAUUAACAACAAAGGGAAAAACAGUAAGCUUGCAGGUGAUCAGUCUGGUGGGCACCACUUAUCUGGGCGAUCAAAGUGAAUAUUGCCAGGAACAAGAUGCGUUGGCAGCAUGUGCCUCCUGCUGUGUGAUGUGCUGAGAAGGACACAGUGUCCCUUCUGUGGUGUUCUCGCCAAAAAUAUGUAACCACAAUCCAAUCAUGAAAAAACACCGGACACAGCCCAAAUGAGGAACAUUCUACAAAAUAAUUAACCACUAUUCUUCAAAAAUGUCACGGUCAGGAAGGACAAAGACUGAGGGAAAUGUCCCAGCUUGGAUGAGACUGAGGAGCUAGACAGCUCAAUGCAAUGUGGGAUCCUGGGACAGAAAAAGAACAUGCGUGGGACAGUUGACAAUGUUUGAAUAAGGUCUGGAGAUAAGUUCACAGUAUUGUAUCAGUGUUUAUGUCCUGGCUUUGCUAAUCACGAUAAUUAUGCUGUGGUUUUAUAAGAUGUUAAUAUGUGGGAGAGCUGGGUAAAGGGUAUUUUAGAAUUCUUUGUACUACUUUUGCAAUGUUUUCAAAGUCUAAAAUUAUUUCAAAAUGAAAAAUUAAAAACUAAAACAAGCUGACAA